rnacentral:rRNA from 1 species
GACGAACGCUGGCGGCGUGCUUAACACAUGCAAGUCGAACGGUAAGGCCCUUCGGGGUACACGAGUGGCGAACGGGUGAGUAACACGUGGGUGAUCUGCCCUGCACUUCGGGAUAAGCCUGGGAAACUGGGUCUAAUACCGGAUAGGACUCCGGACUGCAUGGUCUGGGGUGGAAAGCUUUUGCGGUGUGGGAUGGGCCCGCGGCCUAUCAGCUUGUUGGUGGGGUGAUGGCCUACCAAGGCGACGACGGGUAGCCGGCCUGAGAGGGUGACCGGACACACUGGGACAGAGAUACGGCCGAGACUCCUACGGGAGGCAGCAGUGGGGAAUAUUGCACAAUGGGCGCAAGCCUGAUGCAGCGACGCCGCGUGGGGGAUGACGGCCUUCGGGUUGUAAACCUCUUUCAGCAUCGACGAAGCGAAAGUGACGGUAGGUGCAGAAGAAGGACCGGCCAACUACGUGCCAGCCGCCGCAGUAA